CCCUUAGAGUUUGAUCCUGGCUCAGAAUCAACGCUGGCGGCGUGCCUCAGACAUGCAAGUCGAACGAUUAAAGCUCCCUUCGGGGAGUGCAUAAAGUGGCGCACGGGUGAGUAACACGUAAGUAAUCUACCCUCGGGUGGGGAAUAACGUCCGGAAACGGACGCUAAUACCGCAUAAUGCAGCGGCACCGCAAGGUGACAGUUGUUAAAGAUUUAUUGCCUGGGGAGGAGCUUGCGGCAGAUUAGCUAGUUGGUAAGGUAACGGCUUACCAAGGCUACGGUCUGUAUCCGGUCUAAGAGGACGGUCGGACACACUGACACUGAAUAACGGGUCAGACUCCUACGGGAGGCAGCAGUCGGGAAUUUUGGGCAAUGGGGGAAACCCUGACCCAGCAACGCCGCGUGAAGGAUGAAGUAUUUCGGUAUGUAAACUUCGAAAGAAUAGGAAGAAUUAAUGACGGUACUAUUUAUAAGGUCCGGCUAACUACGUGCCAGCAGCCGCGGUAAUACGUAGGGACCAAGCGUUGUUCGGAUUUACUGGGCGUAAAGGGCGCGUAGGCGGCGCGGUAAGUCACUUGUGAAAUCUCUGAGCUUAACUCAGAACGGCCAAGUGAUACUGCAGUGCUAGAGUGUGGAAGGGGCAAUCGGAAUUCUUGGUGUAGCGGUGAAAUGCGUAGAUAUCAAGAGGAACACCUGAGGUGAA
rnacentral:rRNA from 1 species